rnacentral:rRNA from 1 species
UACGUAGGUGGCAAGCGUUGUCCGGAUUUACUGGGCGUAAGAGCGCGCAGGCGGUCGAUCAAGUCGCGUGUGAAAGCCCCCGGCUCAACUGGGGAGGGUCACGCGAUACUGAUCGACUCGAAGGCAGGAGAGGGUAGUGGAAUUCCCGGUGUAGUGGUGAAAUGCGUAGAUAUCAGGAGGAACACCGGUGGCGAAGGCGGGUCUCUGGGCCGAUACUGACGCUGAGGAGCGAAAGCGUGGGGAGCGAACAGG